AUUAAUACAGAUACAAUGAUGUCAGGUAAAUGCAACAGCCCACAGAGAGAAAAUGUCAUUCAACAAUAAAAUCCAUUCAAUUAUAUACCUCUUCCUCAACAGUGCUGGAUUACUAAAAACUAGCUACAAAGGCAUGGCUAUUUUACUGGCGUUAUAAGAUGGCAGUUGGAGAUAAAAAUUGUAAGUAUUCCAAAAGUGAAGACAAAGGUCUGAGUUUUCUUUGUUUCAUUCACUAUUUUCAGCCCACUUCAGUAACAUCCUGGGGGAAGACUGCCCUCCUGCGUUCACCCGCCAUAGCACGGGAGGAGACAGGCCGUGCAGCUGGAAUCACUUCAAGCUGGCUAUUUUAUUUAUUUUAUCUUCUUUUUUUUUUUUUUUUUAAAUAAUCACAUUAGUGAUUCAGAGAGUGAAAUUAGCCCACCAAAUGUUUGCACGGGAAUACAAGGCUGGUGAGCAGCAGGCCUGCCCCUGGUGCUCUCACAGAAGGUGGUAAUGCUCGCUGGCUGGCACCAGGCCUAGAAAGCCAUUCUGGGCCUUUAAAAUGGCAUCGCUGCUCACAGCUGCUCUUUGUUCUUAACAGAGGCUGCUUAUUAAAAGCUCCUAAAUUGCUCGAUGAAGUCCCGAAGGAAUAAAAUGCUUGUCAGACACCUUGUAAUGAGGUUAGCUAUACUCCUUCACACCAGCUCUUCAUGCAGCUCUAUGGCAAUCUAUCUUCAGAGAGGCACCAAAAAAUCCAGGAGUAUGAAUCCAUAAUCACCCACAUUUCCUGUGUCGUAUUGCUCCCAUGUCAAGAACCUAAAAGUUGCAUAUAGGGUUGCAUAUGUACUUGUUUAUAACAAGUUGUUAUAAAUAACUGACAGGACACCUGAAAACAAGCACUUUAGAAAUGGAAAAACCAAGGUACCCAGCAGUCUGUCGUGUAGGAAGUCAGACAGUGAGUUGGCAACAGGAGUGACUUCUGGAUUCCUGCUUUUAACAGUGUAAUUUGGCAAUCUUUACAGCAAGUGCUCAAAUGCAGGAAAAAGUCUGUUUGCUAAACCUACAGUGAUGUGUCCUGCAUUUGCUCACAGGAUGGAGACCAUUUUAAAAAGGAACCACCACAGUCAGAACAUCAACUGAUUUCCAAAGGAUUAAUAGUGCUGCCAACAAGUGUCUGUGAUGCAUCUCCCGUGCCAUGGACAAUGUUUCUGAAGUGCUGAGAAUACUCUCUCUCCAUGCAGUUUUACCAGUUUAAAUUCCAUGAGCUCAUGGACACGUGACCUGACUUCACAAGGUGCGAAGGGAGUAACUUCAGAUAACAUCUUUAAAUCCAAGUAAUUUAAAGAGAAUCCUCCAGAUUACUCUUCAUGGCUCUGCUCUUCAGAAUUAAGUUCUAGCAAAAUCAUUGGCUGCUGUUCCACUCAUCUGGCACCCAAAGAAUUCUGUCAACAGCAUCCCUAAGGACAGCUCUGUCAAGUGCAGUUUAUUUGCUCCGUUUCAGCACAGCCUGUGUCCAGUGGUCUUGCUAAUCCUUCUAAAGUUUGUUACUUUCUGUAUUAAACUACUUAAUGUCUAUGGAACUAUUUCCAUUCACAAACUAAUGUACAUCUACCAAGAUCAUUUACUAUUGUUUCUGUUGCAACUGAAAGUGCUAUGCAAUUCACAGUAGAAACAAAUGUGCAAACAACUGAAAGUUAUCCAAAUCAGAAUUUACAUAAAAUUUCAUACUACAAUCUUCCAGAGCUCCUGCAACAGGGAACACUCAAUAACUCUUUUGUAUUAUAUUACAUAGCAGCUUUCAUUCAUUCUGAGAUAUGUAAUGGAAUAAGAUAUCAAUACCAAGCUGUCAUAUACUGCCUUGAAAAACACUCUAGAAUGAUAUAUGGACCUUUGAUUUAUUUCACAUGCUAAAUGUGCAAUAAAAAAAAGAAUAAACUCGAAGCAAAACUCUUCCACAAUGUUACAAGCUUUUCUCUCUUAAUCUUACCAUUACACAAACUAAAUUAUGCCUGGAGAUCCAAAUUUCAACCAUUACUACAUAUUUCUUCCUUGAAUCAAUUCCAAAGGUCUUAGCCGGAUUCAGCUGUAUACUGUUACACUGAAAUCUUUUUCAUGAUAACAGUAA